AAACGGCAUUUUUAUUAAAUCAUGUGAACCAGCCUCAAUAGGUCAAGUUUCAUUAAACUAACUAAAAGACAAAACACAAGGCGGACGGUUGGGAUCAGUUUCCAGGCACGCGAUCGAACAGGCCAUAGCAUGCCACGCUAUUCUUCCUUCAUGCAACGUAAAUACAGCAACCAACAGCAUGCGAUUUCGAAAAAAAGAAAAAAAGAAAAAACAAGAACUCCCAACUUCCACUCAACCUAUCUCCCUUUCUAGUGCAUGAAAUCAGAUGAUAUAAAAAACAAAACUCAAGUUCAAAGGGAGAGGAACACCAUGGUGUUUUACUUCGUUACAAAUGGUGACUUAAACAUGGAGUAAAAUGGACAGUAAGGAAGCUACACACGAGAACGGAUAUGAAUGAUAUGAACUUAGAAUCAUGAACCAUGCCUCACAUUGAGGGCUUCAACAACAUACAUGUCAUAUGGAGACAAAAAAC
rnacentral:lncRNA from 1 species